CAAGGACUUGAAUUAGAUGUUUUUCAAAGAUACACAAAUGGCCAAUAAGUGUAUGAAGAAAUGCUCAACGUUGCUAGUUAUUAGGGAGAUACAAAUAAACAAUGCAAUACCGGUUGGAAGGCUAAAACUGAAAAACAAAAAUUGGACAACCCAACUUCUAGUGAGGAUAUGGAGCAAUGGAGGAACACAUAGAUUGCUGGUGGGAAUGCAAAAUGUUUUAACCACACUAGGAGUCAGUUAAGACUUUUGACAAAAAAUUUAAACUUGGUGCAGUAAUACAAGCCUGUUAUUCCCAGUGACUAGGAAGGCUGAGCCAGGAGAAUGCAAGUUCAAGGUCAAUCUCAACAACUUAGCAAGACUCAACAACUUAGUGAAACCCUGUCUCAAACUAAAAAAUAGAAAAGAAUUGGGGGUGUAAUUUGGUGGCAAGGCACAAGAGGACUAGAAACAGAUGUUCAAGCAAAAACUUGCAUACAAAUAGACCCAUUAGCUUUAUGCAUGCAGCCAAAAAGUGGAAACAGUGAAUAUAUACAUGAGCUGAUGAAUAGACAAAUGUUGUACACUCACAUAGUUAAAUAUUAUUUAGUCAAAAGAAAGGUUAAAAUAUAGGUACAUGCCACAGUGAAAUGCACCUUGGAAACAUUACACAUUAAGUAAAAGAAGCCAUAUUCAAAAGACCACAUUCAUAAUUUCAUUUGUAUGAAAUGUACAGAAUAGGCAAAUAAAGGAGAUAGAAAGCAGAUUAGUGGUUGCUUAGGGUUGAGGGCAUUUGAGCUAAAGAGUAUGGAG
rnacentral:lncRNA from 1 species